rnacentral:RNase_P_RNA from 1 species
UCGGGCGGUCGCUGCGGGGGGAACCCCGUAGAGGAAAGUCCGGACAUCACAAGGCAGCGCGCCCUCUGAAAGGGGGGGCUCCCCGCUCUCAAAGGCGGGGGGACGGCCAGUGCCACAGAAAACAAACCGCCCGCAAGGGUAAGGGUGAAAAGGUGGGGUAAGAGCCCACCGCUCCUGCGGCAACAAGGGAGGCAGGGUAAACCCCGCGCGAUGCAAGACAAACAGGGGAAGGGUCGCCUGCCCGCUAUUCCCCGGGUAUUAGUUGCACCCCGCCGUCACAGGCGGGGCACGGCUCCGGCCGCGAGAAAAAUGACCGCACAGCCCGCCAGGGCGGACAGAAUCCGGCUUACAGA